GGAUUAGAUACCCUGGUAGUCCACGCCGUAAACGAUGGACACUAGCUGUUGGGGCGCAAGCCUCGGCGGCCAAGCGAAAGUGAUAAGUGUCCCACCUGGGGAGUACGUUCGCAAGAAUGAAACUCAAAGGAAUUGACGGGGGCCCGCACAAGCGGUGGAGCAUGUGGUUUAAUUCGAUGAUACGCGAGGAACCUUACCAGGGCUUAAAUGUGGAUUGACAGGUUUAGAGAUAGACCCUCCUUCGGGCGAUUCACAAGGUGCUGCAUGGUUGUCGUCAGCUCGUGCCG
rnacentral:rRNA from 1 species